AUGUAAUGUAAUGCCUACAUUGUUAAUUCAUUGGAUCCCAUUAGAAAUCUAUAGUUAAGUGCGCUUGGGAUAGAGUAGUACUGGGAUGGGUGACCUAUCGGGAAGUCCUAGUGUUUUACAUG
rnacentral:rRNA from 1 species